rnacentral:rRNA from 1 species
UAUGAACCGUUAUAACCGGCGAUACCCGAAUGGGGAAACCCAGUGUGACUCGUCACACUAUCAUUAACUGAAUCCAUAGGUUAAUGAGGCGAACCGGGGGAACUGAAACAUCUAAGUACCCCGAGGAAAAGAAAUCAACCGAGAUUCCCCCAGUAGCGGCGAGCGAACGGGGAGGAGCCCAGAGCCUGAAUCAGCAUGUGUGUUAGUGGAAGCGUCUGGAAAGGCGCGCGAUACAGGGUGACAGCCCCGUACACAAAAGCGCAUGUGCUGUGAGCUCGAUGAGUAGGGCGGGACACGUGGUAUCCUGUCUGAAUAUGGGGGGACCAUCCUCCAAGGCUAAAUACUCCUGACUGACCGAUAGUGAACCAGUACCGUGAGGGAAAGGCGAAAAGAACCCCGGCGAGGGGAGUGAAAAAGAACCUGAAACCGUGUACGUACAAGCAGUGGGAGC